UCUCUCUCUCUCUCUCUGUCUCUCAUGAAUAAAUAAAAUCUUAAAAAAAAGAAUGAAGAAAUACCCAAAUCUCCAUUCCAUGUUGCCUUCAAAAGCAAAAACCAUGUUUAUUCCACAGUUGAUGUGUAAGCAGAGAUAGAAUGGAGACACUCCUACAAUAAAUUACUAACUCAGACUUUUGCAUCAUCUUUCAAAGAUUAUGGAGUAAUAUACCCAGGUAAGUAUUUUAAUAUAUAACUAUAAUUUAGUUUCCAGACAAUACUUGUCAUAAAAAUAUGUUCACUAAAAGAGAUUAUAAGAGCUAAUUUAGGAGUAGGUGUUUUAGGAGAGUGCAAAUAUAUUUCCUUUAAAUACUGUAAGAACACAAAUACUAUUUUAUGAUAUUUAAAAGGCUAUUUAAUCUAUGAUCAUUGUUAGUUGAAUACAAGUAAUAGCUUAUCUUUAUUGAACAUUUCCUGAAUGCCAAACAUCAUAUAGACUUAUACAUACAUAGUGUCAUUUAAUCCUCAGAGCAAACCUAUGGGCUUUAUACUAAUAUAAUUUUCAUCUUCCAGGUGAAGAAAAUGGGCUCAGAGAGGCAAAGCAACUUGGCAAAAGUCACACAGACAGGCUGGGGGUGGAAGUGUACCUGAGCUUGGCCAACCAAACGCUCCUUAGAGCCCAAGCACAUGCCUGCGGCAAGGACAAAGAAAUGGUGGGCAGGUUGGAGGAUGGUAAAAUAUCAAAGAUCAAAAAGAUUCUUAACUGGCUACACCCCUGGACAAGCUCUACUCAACUCCCAUGACUGCUUUUGUGUGGAGCCUUGUGGAAACUUCUCUGUCAGGCUGUCAUGAGGCCCUUCCUCCCUGCUGCUGACCACCUGCAAAUCUUGGAGACGUCUUGAUGGGUACAACACUGCCUGAUGAACUCUCCUUCUUCCUGUCUUCC